AGUUUGAAAAUAUAAAUUGUUGUUUUUCAGGGAGUUCAUCCCAUGGAUUGGAACUGUGUUUAAUGUGGUGAGGGAUAUUUUUGGAGAGUUCAAUUACUUCUUCACUUAUGUCGUUGUGGCACAUUCCAGGUUUGUGUUUAAUUCGAGUGUGGGACUAUGGAACCUGGCGACUACAAUACGAUACUUGUACUUAUUUAAUGUGGAGUUUAUUCAGGACACAUUGGAUAGAACUAUUCUAUGGCUUGGUAAACUGGUUAUUGUGCUCCAUGUUGUUGGGUCAAUCUGCUACGAUUUAAUUAUGUCUUACUUCAAUAUAUACCCUCUUAUAGCUCGGGGGACAAUAGUCUACACCAUGGGAUCUAAGGAACUAUUUAACUCACUACCUGAAAUUCCUAAAACUCAAGGAUUAAGCCAAGGAACCUACUUCUUAUUCACAA